rnacentral:rRNA from 1 species
UACGUAGGGCGCGAGCGUUGUCUGGAAUUAUUGGGCGUAAAGAGCUCGUAGGCGGCCUGUUGCGUCUGCUGUGAAAUCCCGGGGCUUAACCCCGGGCGUGCAGUGGAUACGGGCAGGCUGGAGGCAGGCAGGGGGAGACUGGAAUUCCUGGUGUAGCGGUGAAAUGCGCAGAUAUCAGGAGGAACACCGGUGGCGAAGGCGGGUCUCUGGGCCGAUACUGACGCUGAGGAGCGAAAGCGUGGGGGAGCGAACAGG